UAACUCUGUUUCUAUUAUGUUUCUUCUGAGUAAAACAAGCAAAUAAAUUAAAACUUUCAACAACGGAUCUCUUGGCUCUGGCAUCGAUGAAGAACGCAGCGAAAUGCGAUAAGUAAUGUGAAUUGCAGAAUUCAGUGAAUCAUCGAAUCUUUGAACGCACAUUGCGCCCGCCAGUAUUCUGGCGGGCAUGCCUGUUCGAGCGUCAUU
rnacentral:rRNA from 2 species